rnacentral:misc_RNA from 1 species
UUGUGGAGGAGGACGCCGAAGGUGGGGCUAAUGACUGGGGUGAAGUCGUAACAAGGUAGCCGUACCGGAAGGUGCGGCUGGAUCACCUCCUAACAGGGAGACAACAAAAUGUUUAAUAUUAUUAUUUUGUCACCUUAGGUCGAUCGGUAUCUCACGUUUUUAAUUUAUUAAGAAUUUCAUUUCCUAAGUUUUUCUAGGUCACACCCAUUAUUUUUCCUGGGCCAUUAGCUCAGGUGGUUAGAGCGCACCCCUGAUAAGGGUGAGGUCCCUGGUUCAAGUCCAGGAUGGCCCAUAUCUCUAUGUUGGGGGUAUAGCUCAGUUGGUAGAGCGCCUGCUUUGCAAGCAGGAUGUCAGCGGUUCGAGUCCGCUUACCUCCACUGAUUACCACCUCUUCCAUAACCGGUAGAAAGGAAAUUUUUUGAGCUGUGAUCAAAUUCUGAAAGAAUCUAGCUUCCUAACGAAAUCGUUAAGAUGCUGGACUCAUUGAAUUAAUUUCAUUGUUUUCAGAGAACCUUGACAACUGCAUAGAUUAUUUUUAAAGACAAUAAGCAUCUUUAAUGAUGCAGAUUUAUUAUUUGUGCGAAUGCAUUAAUAACAAUUCUAUUAAGCUGAUGCUUCAAUUUUGAAGUUAUUGGUCAAGCUACAA